UUUGAUAGCCCAUUACUCUCGCUAUCCGCCCGGGUACUACGAGCACUAGCUUAAAACCCAAAGGACUUGGCGGUGCUUUAGAUCCACCUAGAGGAGCCUGUUCUAGAACCGAUAACCCCCGUUAAACCUCACCCUCCCUUGUUCUUUCCGCCUAUAUACCGCCGUCGUCAGCUUACCCUGUGAAGGAACCACAGUAAGCAAAACUAGUACAACUCAAAACGCCAGGUCGAGGUGUAGCAUAUGAGAGGGGAAGAAAUGGGCUACAUUCCCUGCCACAGGGAAUACGAACAAUGUAAUGAAACGUACAUUUAAAGGAGGAUUUAGCAGUAAGCAGAAAAUAGAGUG
rnacentral:rRNA from 1 species